AUUGAACGCUGGCGGCAGGCUUCACACAUGCAAGUCGAGCGAGCGGCGGACGGGUGAGUAAUGUCUGGGAAACUGCCUGAUGGAGGGGGAUCACUACUGGAAACGGUAGCUAAUACCGCAUACCAUCAGAUGUGCCCAGUGGGGAUUAGCUAGUAGGUGGGGUAAUGGCUCACCUAGGCGACGAUCCCUCUCUGGUUUGAGAGGAUGACCGUCAAAACUGGAACUGAGACACGGUCCAGACUCCUACGGGAGGCAGCAGGGGGGAAUAUGGGACAAUGAGCGAAAUCCGGAUGCAGCCAGGCCGCGUGUGGGAAGAGGGCCUUCGGGUUGUAAAGCACUUUCAGCGAGGAGGCGGUACUCGCAGAAGAAGCACCGGCUAACUCCGUGCCAGCAGCCGCGGUAAUUC
rnacentral:rRNA from 1 species